rnacentral:rRNA from 1 species
CCUGGCUCAGGAUGAACGCUAGCUACAGGCUUAACACAUGCAAGUCGAGGGGCAGCAUUUUAGUUUGCUUGCAAACUGAAGAUGGCGACCGGCGCACGGGUGAGUAACACGUAUCCAACCUGCCGAUAACUCCGGAAUAGCCUUUCGAAAGAAAGAUUAAUACCGGAUAGCAUACGAAUAUCGCAUGAUAUUUUUAUUAAAGAAUUUCGGUUAUCGAUGGGGAUGCGUUCCAUUAGUUUGUUGGCGGGGUAACGGCCCACCAAGACUACGAUGGAUAGGGGUUCUGAGAGGAAGGUCCCCCACAUUGGAACUGAGACACGGUCCAAACUCCUACGGGAGGCAGCAGUGAGGAAUAUUGGUCAAUGGGCGAGAGCCUGAACCAGCCAAGUAGCGUGAAGGAUGAAGGCUCUAUGGGUCGUAAACUUCUUUUAUAUGGGAAUAAAGUUUUCCACGUGUGGAAUUUUGUAUGUACCAUAUGAAUAAGGAUCGGCUAACUCCGUGCCAGCAGCCGCGGUAAUACGGAGGAUCCGAGCGUUAUCCGGAUUUAUUGGGUUUAAAGGGAGCGUAGGUGGAUUGUUAAGUCAGUUGUGAAAGUUUGCGGCUCAACCGUAAAAUUGCAGUUGAAACUGGCAGUCUUGAGUACAGUAGAGGUGGGCGGAAUUCGUGGUGUAGCGGUGAAAUGCUUAGAUAUCACGAAGAACUCCGAUUGCGAAGGCAGCUCACUAGACUGUCACUGACACUGAUGCUCGAAAGUGUGGGUAUCAAACAGGAUUAGAUACCCUGGUAGUCCACACAGUAAACGAUGAAUACUCGCUGUUUGCGAUAUACAGUAAGCGGCCAAGCGAAAGCAUUAAGUAUUCCACCUGGGGAGUACGCCGGCAACGGUGAAACUCAAAGGAAUUGACGGGGGCCCGCACAAGCGGAGGAACAUGUGGUUUAAUUCGAUGAUACGCGAGGAACCUUACCCGGGCUUAAAUUGCAACAGAAUAUAUUGGAAACAGUAUAGCCGUAAGGCUGUUGUGAAGGUGCUGCAUGGUUGUCGUCAGCUCGUGCCGUGAGGUGUCGGCUUAAGUGCCAUAACGAGCGCAACCCUUAUCUUUAGUUACUAACAGGUCAUGCUGAGGACUCUAGAGAGACUGCCGUCGUAAGAUGUGAGGAAGGUGGGGAUGACGUCAAAUCAGCACGGCCCUUACGUCCGGGGCUACACACGUGUUACAAUGGGGGGUACAGAAGGCGGCUACCUGGUGACAGGAUGCUAAUCCCAAAAACCUCUCUCAGUUCGGAUCGAAGUCUGCAACCCGACUUCGUGAAGCUGGAUUCGCUAGUAAUCGCGCAUCAGCCAUGGCGCGGUGAAUACGUUCCCGGGCCUUGUACACACCGCCCG